rnacentral:misc_RNA from 1 species
GAAAUGCGAUAAGUAGUGUGAAUUGCAGAAUUCAGUGAAUCAUCGAAUCUUUGAACGCACAUUGCGCCCUGUGGUAUUCCGCAGGGCAUGCCUGUUCGAGCGUCAUUUAACCCCCUCAAGCUCUGCUUGUUGUUGGGCGUUUGUCCUACCUUUCGGCAUGGACUCGCCUUAAAAAUAUUGGCAGCCACCUCCCUGGCUUCGAGCGCAGCACUCUUGCGCCCGGUAUAUAGGGGGUGUGGUUCCCCAUAAGCACUUCUUUGGUUGACCUCGGAUCAGGUAGGGAUACCCGCUGAACUUAA